rnacentral:rRNA from 1 species
AUUGAACGCUGGCGGCAUGCUUUACACAUGCAAGUCGAACGGUAACAGGGUGCUUGCACCGCUGACGAGUGGCGAACGGGUGAGUAAUGCGUCGGAACGUGCCGAGUAGUGGGGGAUAACGCAGCGAAAGUUGUGCUAAUACCGCAUACGUACUGAGGUAGAAAGUGGGGGACCUUCGGGCCUCACGCUAUUCGAGCGGCCGACGUCUGAUUAGCUAGUAGGUGAGGUAAAGGCUCACCUAGGCGACGAUCAGUAGCGGGUCUGAGAGGUCGAUCCGCCACACUGGGACUGAGACACGGCCCAGACUCCUACGGGAGGCAGCAGUGGGGAAUUUUGGACAAUGGGCGAAAGCCUGAUCCAGCCAUGCCGCGUGUCUGAAGAAGGCCUUCGGGUUGUAAAGGACUUUUGUCGGGGAGGAAAUCCCUAGCGUUAAUACCGCUGGGGGAUGACAGUACCUGAAGAAUAAGCACCGGCUAACUACGUGCCAGCAGCCGCCGUAA